rnacentral:rRNA from 1 species
GCAAGUCGAGCGGACACUUCGGUGUUAGCGGCGGACGGGUGAGUAAUGCUUGCAGAUGUACCCUUUGGUAAAGGAUAACGUUUGGAAACGGACGCUAAUACUUUAUAAGCACUAUGGUGGAAAGAUUUAUCGCCAAGGGAUCAUUUCAAGUCGGAUUAGCUAGUUGUAGGGGUAAAGGCUCUACAAGGCGAUGAUCCGUAGCCGGCCUGAGAGGGUGAUC